AUUGAACGCUGGCGGCAGGCCUAACACAUGCAAGUCGAACGAGUGGCGGACGGGUGAGUAAUGUCUGGGAAACUGCCUGAUGGAGGGGGAUAACUACUGGAAACGGUAGCUAAUACCGCAUACCAUCGGAUGUGCCCAGAUGUGAUUAGCUAGUAGGUGGGGUAAAGGCUCACCUAGGCGACGAUCCCUAGCUGGUCUGAGAGGAGGACCAGGCACACGGGAACGGGGACACGGGCCAGACUCCUACGGAGGGCAGCAGUGGGGAAAAUUGCACAAUGGGCGCAAGCCGGAUGCAGCCAUGCCGGGUGGAGGAAGAGGGCCUUGGGGUUGUAAAGUACUUUCAGCGGGGAGGCGUUACCCGCAGAAGAAGCACCGGCUAACUCCGUGCCAGCAGCCGCGGUAAUAC
rnacentral:rRNA from 1 species